AAUCCGUGUUGUGGGCACUUUCGCAAAAGGUCUUCAAAACGCUCCUAUGUCUCAGACAAGGACUCAAGCUCCAUCUGAACAAACGGUGAAAUCUCAUUACGAAGUAU